rnacentral:rRNA from 1 species
GGCGGGUCCGCCCGCCGAUUGGACAACAUUCAAACCCUUUGCAGUUGCAAUCAGCGUCUGAAAAAACAUAAUAGUUACAACUUUCAACAACGGAUCUCUUGGUUCUGGCAUCGAUGAAGAACGCAGCGAAAUGCGAUAAGUAGUGUGAAUUGCAGAAUUCAGUGAAUCAUCGAAUCUUUGAACGCACAUUGCGCCCCUUGGUAUUCCAUGGGGCAUGCCUGUUCGAGCGUCAUUUGUACCUUCAAGCUCUGCUUGGUGUUGGGUGUUUGUCUCGCCUCUGCGUGUAGACUCGCCUUAAAACAAUUGGCAGCCGGCGUAUUGAUUUCGGAGCGCAGUACAUCUCGCGCUUUGCACUCAUAACGACGACGUCCAAAAGUACAUUUUUACACUCUUGACCUCGGAUCAGGUAGGGAUACCCGCUGAACUUAAGCAUAUCAAUAAGCGGAGGAAAAGAAACCAACAGGGAUUGCCCUAGUAACGGCGAGUGAAGCGGCAACAGCUCAAAUUUGAAAUCUGGCGUCUUUGGCGUCCGAGUUGUAAUUUGCAGAGGGCGCUUUGGCAUUGGCAGCGGUCCAAGUUCCUUGGAACAGGACGUCACAGAGGGUGAGAAUCCCGUACGUGGUCGCUAGCCUUUACCGUGUAAAGCCCCUUCGACGAGUCGAGUUGUUUGGGAAUGCAGCUCUAAAUGGGAGGUAAAUUUCUUCUAAAGCUAAAUACUGGCCAGAGACCGAUAGCGCACAAGUAGAGUGAUCGAAAGAUGAAAAGCACUUUGGAAAGAGAGUUAAAAAGCACGUGAAAUUGUUGAAAGGGAAGCGCUUGCAGCCAGACUUGCCUGUAGUUGCUCAUCCGGGUUUUUACCCGGUGCACUCUUCUACGGGCAGGCCAGCAUCAGUUUGGGCGGUUGGAUAAAGGUCUCUGUCAUGUACCUCCUCUCGGG